CCAGCUUAAUUAUUGAGAUUAGGGUUUUCUGAAACCAGUUGUUCUAAAAGUUGCAGUUUUGUGAGACUAUUAUAAACAACCGUGGUUUUGUGAGAAAACUGUCACAAAAAGUGUGGUUCCGUGAAAUUUACUCGACUCUUAAAGCAAUUGGCUUAGAGUUAGCUAAGAGUUGACAUUUUUAUCAUUGUACAACAUCACAUUUAAUGCUAAUGAGAUACCGAUACAAAAGGUUGUAGAUGUGAACUUAUGAUUUUUUUUCUUUGCAUACAUUGUGUGGAUGUAAACUUAUGAUUUUUUUCCUUUACUAUUUUCGGUAUUUUUAUGAGUCGGAUGAUCGGAAAGAGAACGUUGACUCUCAUGUAGUCCCGGAGGGGCGACCUAGAAGAGUCAAACCCUAGCGGGCACCGCCACCCUCUUCCCAUCUCCUUUCACCUCGCCGCUUGAGAAGGAUAUUGGGCAAAGCCCGUGUGGCCAAUGGUGAUCAAGGGGACCGCAAGAUAUUUCAUCGAGUGGUUUUCUCGCAAGGAGAUGACUCAUUGUCGAUGAUCUUGUGGGGAGAUGGCGCAGUCAUCGGCAUGGUACUCAUGGGUAUGCCUCAGAGAUGGAGGCGCGAAUUCGUGAUGCCCAAUCAAUUGGCGUUGGUAGGCCUUGGUGCAUGAUCUGGGCCGCAAUUUUCUCGGAUGAGCGGGUGGUGGGUGGUGCAGCAUUGGCUGAGUGACAACGCCAUGGGUUGGGACAACUGCUCUUUCCUGGCGGAGCCGCACAAGGGUACAGCCCGAAGGCGAGCGACGACUGCAUUAGCGGAUGUCCUCUUCUUUGCAUGGAUCUGAGGACAAGUGCUUCAGACCAGGAUGCAACCAUCCAUAGCAUUGCUCCAUUCCAACAUUUUCUCCCAUGACACGAAUUGACCAAGGGUGCUGUUGUGGGAAAGUCACGGCAGAUGUCAUCGUAGGUGGCUCACGUAGGGUGGAGCUUUGUGCGAUCGGGAGUCUAGCAAUGACAAACAAGCACAUGAGGUCGAUAGUUAGGGUUUGAGUUACAGUGAUCUCGACCUCUCGAGGGUCCUAUGUAG
rnacentral:lncRNA from 1 species